rnacentral:rRNA from 1 species
AGUGGCGGACGGGUGAGUAACGCGUGGGUAACCUACCUCAUACAGGGGGAUAACAGUUGGAAACGACCGCUAAUACCGCAUAACCCGCUAGUAUCGCAUGAUACAGACGAAAAAGAUUUAUCGGUAUGAGAUGGACCCGCGUCUGAUUAGCCAGUUGGCAGGGUAACGGCCUACCAAAGCAACGAUCAGUAGCCGGCCUGAGAGGGUGAACGGCCACAUUGGGACUGAGACACGGCCCAAACUCCUACGGAAGGCAGCAG